rnacentral:rRNA from 1 species
AUUGAACGCUGGCGGCAUGCUUUACACAUGCAAGUCGAACGGCAGCGCGGGCUUCGGCCUGGCGGCGAGUGGCGAACGGGUGAGUAAUGCAUCGGAACGUGCCCAGUAGUGGGGGAUAGCCCGGCGAAAGCCGGAUUAAUACCGCAUACGACCUGAGGGUGAAAGCGGGGGACGGAAAGCCCUGGGGCAAUUGGAGCGGCGAUGUCGGAUUAGCUAGUUGGUGGGGUAAAGGCUUACCAAGGCGACGAUCCGUAGCUGGUCUGAGAGGACGACCAGCCACACUGGGACUGAGACACGGCCCAGACUCCUACGGGAGGCAGCAGUGGGGCAUUUUGGACAAUGGGGGCAACCCUGAUCCAGCCAUGCCGCGUGCGGGAAGAAGGCCUUCGGGUUGUAAACCGCUUUUGUUCGGGAAGAAAUCCUCUGGGCUAAUACCCCGGGGGGAUGACGGUACCGGAAGAAUAAGCACCGGCUAACUACGUG